AUGGAGGAUUCCAUUAUUUGGAAGUUCACCAAGGACGGUUUGUACUCUGUCUCAUCGGCUUAUAAGGCACAAUUUGAGGGCCUUACUACGUCAGACAUGGUUCACUCGGUGUGGAAGGUGUGGGCUCCUCCGCGGUGCAAAUUUUUUGCUUGGCUUGCCCUUCAAAACAGGAUUCGGACAUCAGAUCACCUUAUUCGUCGUGGAUGGCCCAACUGCGGUCUUUGCCCCCUUUGCAAGCAAAGUCAGGAAUCGGCGGCCCACCUACUGUUCCAAUGUUGUUUCACCGUUCGUGUGUGGAAUGAUAUUCUCCAGUGGCUCGGCUUGCAACACAUCAAUACAGCUGCUUGGACGACGAGGGUCUCUGUGAGGGAAUGGUGGAUAGGAAACAUUCAUAUCCGCACUGAAUCCCCCAAGGCGCUUGCUUCACUGAUGAUGCUCAUCUCCUGGGAGAUUUGGUCGGAGUGCAAUGUUAGAAUUUUCCGCAACAUGGCCGCUCCUUCGGUGGUCCUCGUUAGCAAGAUUAAAGAGGAGUUGUCUCUUUGGGCUUCGGCGGGCGCCAAGCACUUGAGUAUUGUAAUGGCGCGAGAGUAG
rnacentral:rRNA from 1 species